GUGCCCGUAGCUCAGCCGGAUAGAGCGGCUGCCUUCUAAGCAGCAGGUCAGAGGUUCGACCCCUCUCGGGCACGCCA
rnacentral:tRNA from 1 species